GCUUUUAUUAAAAAUGUUGACAAACAGCAACAAGAAAUGCUGAAUAUCAAAUGAAACAGUUCACAACAGGUGCUGGCACCUAUUUCUUUCCACUUCAAGCACUGAUUUUAUAUAAAAUGUAACUACAACUUUAAAUAUCAAGUGUAUGUAGUUAAAAUGAUUAAACACAACGUAAAUAUGUUUAAUAUAAAGUUAAUGUAAAAAAAAUCUAAUAAACUUUAUUAGAUAAAAUGUGCAACAGUAGAAGGAAACGUCAUUUUGCCUGUAUUCUUUUGACAGAGCUGGACAACAAGGACGUGUUUUCUGAGCAGCAUCAUGCAGAUGGAGGGCGCAGACUGGACUUCACACCUGUUGCUCAAGAGGGACCGUGUCCUCAGAAGCCUGUGUGAUUACCUCAAUGAGGACAGCAGGACUCUCAUCAAGUAGUACUUGGAUGUGAACAGUGAGGAAGCUAAGAGAGAGAUCGCACAGAGCACCAUGGGGCUCUAUCUGAUUUGCAGAAAAGGUGCUGAUGAAGAGGACAAGCCAGCGGAUGCUGGAGUGGUGGUCGAGGUUGUGGAACUGCUGAGAGAACUAGGAAGUAUUUGCUUUGGUUGUGCCAUGCUGUUUGGCCUGAUCCACACACUCAGCCUGAACUAUCCUCAAAUGUAAAUUUUAGUUCUACCAGAAGGUUUUAAUGAACCCAAAGGUGCAAACAUUAAAAAUUAAGAUGUUUCAGUGAGCUCUUGUGCUGGAUAGCCACAUUUAGGCUUAACAGACUUAACCAUUGUUCAUGUGGUUUAAAAACACAAACAGCGUAACGACUUAUUGGUCUGAUUAUUUCUGGCAUCUUCAAUUGCCACUUUGUGUUAACUUGCUUAUUUUGUUAAGAUUGGAGUGUUAUAGAUAUUGAACCUCUCUUGGACCAGUUCUGCGCUGAGAUGGUAUACUGUUAUACUACAUAUACUUUUUCAUGCAGGUAUUAAGGCCUUUUGCCUUUUUCAUGUUUCUCAUGUCUGACUUGUUCCCAUUCUGCAAUAAUAUCUCUAAGACUGACACUUGACAAUUUAAUGUUUUACAUUUUGCUGUAAUCCAGGUCCCGUCUUAGAACUGUAAGAUGUUCUUGGAGGGGGACGUAUAUAUGUGUGUGUAUUGUAGAUUGUAAAUGGAGAACAGCAUUAUCAUUUUUUCCCUAUGUGCUUGGAAGAUGGAGGCCUGUGCAUCACGCCGUCGGUCAGUCAGCAGUUAGGUCAGGAGGACCAUGUCCAAAUAUGUAAACAUGUAACUUGAGGUUGUAUUGUUCAGACUAUGUUAUCAUCAUAUUAGUGAGUAUUUGAUAAAAGGCUCUUUUGAAUGGUAAUCUAUGUUUUUUUAAGAUUAUUUUAUGUAUUUUAAGUUACUAUAGUAGAAAUACUUAUUCCAGUGCCUUAUUUCUUUUCUUCUUUAUUUUUUUUUAGCCUUUAUAGUACAGUUAGGUUUAUUAUACACUGGAAAACCUUGUGCACUUUGUCAUUAGCCGUUGUUUUUUUGCAAUAACAGGUCUUGCUGCUGUAAUGUUAAAAUUACUAUUGGCCAUGGUUGUAAUGAUUAUAAUAGAUCUGCCAAUAACAGUU